CAGUAGCCGCGGGAAUACGGAGGGUGCAAGCGUUACUCGGAAUCACUGGGCGUAAGGGACGCGUAGGCGGAUUAUCAAGUCUCUUGUGAAAUCUAACGGCUUAACCGUUAAACUGCUUGGGAAACUGAUAAUCUAGAGUAAGGGAGAGGCAGAUGGAAUUCUUGGUGUAGGGGUAAAAUCCGUAGAUAUCAAGAAGAAUACCUAUUGCGAAGGCGAUCUGCUGGAACUUAACUGACGCUAAUGCGUGAAAGCGUGGGGAGCAAACAGGAUUAGAUACCCCCGUAGUCCCUGUCUCUUAUAC
rnacentral:rRNA from 1 species